UAUAAGGCCCCUGUAGGGGCCACAUACCUUUCCUAGUAGAGGGUAG
rfam:Sus scrofa chromosome 17.